AUUCAGCCGAUGAGUCUCAAAUAGGAUGAAACUCGCGUCUCGGAU
rnacentral:hammerhead_ribozyme from 1 species